CCUACGAGUGGCAGCAGUGGGGAAUAUUGUGCAAUGGGGGGAACCCUGACGCAGCCAUGCCGCGUGAAUGAAGAAGGCCUUCGGGUUGUAAAGUUCUUUCGGUAUUGAGGAAGGGAUGUGUGCUAAUAGUACACGUCAUUGACGUUAAAUACAGAAGAAGCACCGGCUAACUCCGUGCCAGCAGCCGCGGUAAUACGGAGGGUGCGAGCGUUAAUCGGAAUAACUGGGCGUAAAGGGCACGCAGGCGGUUAUUUAAGUGAGGUGUGAAAGCCCCGGGCUUAACCUGGGAAUUGCAUUUCAGACUGGGUAACUAGAGUACUUUAGGGAGGGGUAGAAUUCCACGUGUAGCGGUGAAAUGCGUAGAGAUGUGGAGGAAUACCGAAGGCGAAGGCAGACCCUUGGGAAUGUACUGACGCUCAUGUGCGAAAGCGUGGGGAGCAAACAGGAUUAGAUACCCCGGUAGUC
rnacentral:rRNA from 1 species